AUAAAUUCCAUGUGAGACAUCAGGAAAUGUCCUGGGGUGAGCAGUGCCCUGCACACAUCAGUGCUUUGGUCAAGAAUGUCAUUACAUGGAGGACCUUUCUGAAUGUAUAACCACCAUAUUCCAGUGAAUAUUUUGCUUGUUUGUCCAUAUCAGAAGGAGCCCAAAGAGCAGCAGACAAAAUGACUUUUGGAGACUUCGAGACAAAAGAAUAACUCUUAUUCUGUCUGAAACUUCAGUCAGUGGAAGUCCUGCAGGCCCAGGAGCCUGUGCUGCUGGGACAGCUCCCCCACAGCAGAGCAGCUCUUGCAGGGAGCUUUAUUUCCCUUGCAGUUCUGUCCCUUUUUCAUUUUAAGGUGUAACACUGUAACUGGCUGUACAGAGCCUGGAAACACCCGAACAGCAGAGAGGAUUAUUUCAGGAGCCACCUUCAGUUAUUCAUAUGAAGAAACAGACCUAAAUCAGGUAAAUAUUUUAGGAUACAGAUUAACACUUUUG